CUACAUAAUGCCAACACUUGAGGAUGUUUUGCACAAACUGCCUAAAGCAUGGGUUUUUACACUUGUUGAUGCAAGAGUUGAUUUUCUACAGUGCAAACUGGAUGAAAAGAGUAGCUACGUGACCACUUUCUGGACUCCCUGGGGCCGAAAGAGAUGGCUCAAGCUGCCGUUUGGAGUCUCCGUAGCCCCAGAAGUAUACCAGCGAAAGCAACAUGAACUGUUAAGUGGGCUCCACGGUAUUGAACCAAUAGCAGAUGACAUUCUUAUAAUUGGCUGUGGUAAUACAGAUGAGGAAGCUGAGCAUGACCAUGAUGAGAAGCUAGUAGCAUUAUUGGAUCGCUGCAGGCAGGUAAUGCUGAGACUCAGCGUAAAGAAAUUACAAUUCAAGGUACAAGAAGUCUGCUUCCAUGGACAUAUCCUGUCUCAAAAAGGCUUGAAAGUUGAACCAGAUAAGAUUAGAGCCAUUGUGGACAUGCCACGGCCUGGUGACACCAAAGCAGUGCAGCGUUUUAUUGGCUUUGUCACAUACCUAGCAAAUUUCAGGUGUGUGAGCCAUUGAGAAGGCUUCUAGAUAAAGAUGCAGUUUGGCAUUGGCUUCCCAAGCAUGACCAGGCAGUGGAGGAAAUAAAACAAUUGAUCACAGCUGCCCCAGUGCUAAAAUAUUAUGAUGUAAAAAAGCCUGUUACAAUACAAAGCG